rnacentral:rRNA from 1 species
GGGUUGUGAGGUUAAGCGACUAAGCGUACACGGUGGAUGCCCUGGCAGUCAGAGGCGAUGAAGGGCGUGCUAAUCUGCGAUAAGCGCCGGUAAGGUGAUAUGAACCGUUAUAACCGGCGAUACCCGAAUGGGGAAACCCAGUGUGAUUCGUCACACUAUCAUUAACUGAAUCCAUAGGUUAAUGAGGCGAACCGGGGGAACUGAAACAUCUAAGUACCCCGAGGAAAAGAAAUCAACCGAGAUUCCCCCAGUAGCGGCGAGCGAACGGGGAGGAGCCCAGAGCCUGAAUCAGCAUGUGUGUUAGUGGAAACGUCUGGAAAGGCGCGCGAUACAGGGUGACAGCCCCGUACACAAAAGCGCAUGUGCUGUGAGCUCGAUGAGUAGGGCGGGACACGUGGUAUCCUGUCUGAAUAUGGGGGGACCAUCCUCCAAGGCUAAAUACUCCUGACUGACCGAUAGUGAACCAGUACCGUGAGGGAAAGGCGAAAAGAACCCCGGCGAGGGGAGUGAAAAAGAACCUGAAACCGUGUACGUACAAGCAGUGGGAGCACAGGUUUACCUGUGUGACUGCGUACCUUUUGUAUAAUGGGUCAGCGACUUAUAUUCUGUAGCAAGGUUAACCGAAUAGGGGAGCCGGAGGGAAACCGAGUCUUAACCGGGCGUUAAGUUGCAGGGUAUAGACCCGAAACCCGGUGAUCUAGCCAUGGGCAGGUUGAAGGUUGGGUAACACUAACUGGAGGACCGAACCGACUAAUGUUGAAAAAUUAGCGGAUGACCUGUGGCUGGGGGUGAAAGGCCAAUCAAACCGGGAGAUAGCUGGUUCUCCCCGAAAGCUAUUUAGGUAGCGCCUCGUGAAUUCAUCUCCGGGGGUAGAGCACUGUUUCGGCUAGGGGGUCAUCCCGACUUACCAACCCGAUGCAAACUGCGAAUACCGGAGAAUGUUAUCACGGGAGACACACGGCGGGUGCUAACGUCCGUCGUGAAGAGGGAAACAACCCAGACCGCCAGCUAAGGUCCCAAAGUCAUGGUUAAGUGGGAAACGAUGUGGGAAGGCCCAGACAGCCAGGAUGUUGGCUUAGAAGCAGCCAUCAUUUAAAGAAAGCGUAAUAGCUCACUGGUCGAGUCGGCCUGCGCGGAAGAUGUAACGGGGCUAAACCAUGCACCGAAGCUGCGGCAGCGACGCUGAUGCGUUGUUGGGUAGGGGAGCGUUCUGUAAGCCUGCGAAGGUGGCCUGUGAGGGUUGCUGGAGGUAUCAGAAGUGCGAAUGCUGACAUAAGUAACGAUAAAGCGGGUGAAAAGCCCGCUCGCCGGAAGACCAAGGGUUCCUGUCCAACGUUAAUCGGGGCAGGGUGAGUCGACCCCUAAGGCGAGGCCGAAAGGCGUAGUCGAUGGGAAACGGGUUAAUAUUCCCGUACUUGGUGUUACUGCGAAGGGGGGACGGAGAAGGCUAUGUUGGCCGGGCGACGGUUGUCCCGGUUUAAGCGUGUAGGCUGGUUUUCCAGGCAAAUCCGGAAAAUCAAGGCUGAGGCGUGA